GUCGAACGCAGUAGCAAUACUGAGUGGCAGACGGGUGAGUAACAUGUGGGAAUCUGCCUUGUGGUUCAGGACAACAUUGGGAAACCGAUGCCAAUACUGGAUAAGCCCUUACGGGGAAAGUUUUAACGCCAUAAGAUGAGCCCGCACUUGAUUAGUUAGUUGGUGAGGUAAUGACUCACCAAGACAAUGAUCAAUAGCUGAUCUGAGAGGAUGAUCAGCCACACUGGGACUGAGACACGGCCCAGACUCCUACGGGAGGCAGCAGUGGGGAAUCUUGCACAAUGGAGGAAACUCUGAUGCAGCGAUGCCGCGUGAGUGAAGAAGGCCUUUGGGUUGUAAAGCUCUUUUGUAGGGGAAGAUAAUGACUGUACCCUAAGAAUAAGGUCCGGCUAACUUCGUGCCAGCAGCCGCGGUAAUACGAAGGGACCUAGCGUAGUUCGGAAUUACUGGGCGUAAAGCGCGCGUAGGCCGUUGAGUUAGUUAAUUGUGAAAUCCCAAAGCUUAACUUUGGAACUGCAAUUAAAACUGCUCGACUAGAGUUUGAUAGAGGAAAGCGGAAUACAUAGUGUAGAGGUGAAAUUCGUAGAUAUUAUGUAGAACACCAGUUGCGAAGGCGGCUUUCUGGAUCAACACUGACGCUGAGGCGCGAAAGUAUGGGUAGCAAAGAGGAUUAGAUACCCUCGUAGUCCAUACCAUAAACGAUGAUUGCUAGAUGUUGGAAAUUUAUUUUCAGUAUCGCAGCUAACGCAU
rnacentral:rRNA from 1 species